rnacentral:rRNA from 1 species
AGAGUUUGAUCCUGGCUCAGGACGAACGCUGGCGGCGUGCUUAACACGUGCAAGUCGAACGGAAAGGCCCUUCGGGGUACUCGAGUGGCGAACGGGUGAGUAACACGUGGGUGAUCUGCCCUGCACUUUGGGAUAAGCCUGGGAAACUGGGUCUAAUACCGAAUAUGACCAUGCACUUCCUGGUGUGUGGUGGAAAGCUUUUGCGGUGUGGGAUGGGCCCGCGGCCUAUCAGCUUGUUGGUGGGGUAAUGGCCUACCAAGGCGACGACGGGUAGCCGGCCUGAGAGGGUGACCGGCCACACUGGGACUGAGAUACGGCCCAGACUCCUACGGGAGGCAGCAGUGGGGAAUAUUGCACAAUGGGCGCAAGCCUGAUGCAGCGACGCCGCGUGAGGGAUGACGGCCUUCGGGUUGUAAACCUCUUUCAGCACAGACGAAGCGCAAGUGACGGUAUGUGCAGAAGAAGGACCGGCCAACUACGUGCCAGCAGCCGCGGUAAUACGUAGGGUCCGAGCGUUGUCCGGAAUUACUGGGCGUAAAGAGCUCGUAGGUGGUUUGUCGCGUUGUUCGUGAAAACUCACAGCUUAACUGUGGGCGUGCGGGCGAUACGGGCAGACUUGAGUACUGCAGGGGAGACUGGAAUUCCUGGUGUAGCGGUGAAAUGCGUAGA